UACGAAGGGGGCUAGCGUUGCUCGGAAUCACUGGGCGUAAAGGGUGCGUAGGCGGGUCUUUAAGUCAGGGGUGAAAUCCUGGAGCUCAACUCCAGAACUGCCUUUGAUACUGAAGGUCUUGAGUUCGGGAGAGGUGAGUGGAACUGCGAGUGUAGAGGUGAAAUUCGUAGGUAUUCGCAAGAACACCAGUGGCGAAGGCGGGUCUCUGGGCCGAUACUGACGCUGAGGAGCGAAAGCCAGGGGAGCAAACGGG
rnacentral:rRNA from 1 species